rnacentral:rRNA from 1 species
AACGAACGCUGGCGGCAGGCCUAACACAUGCAAGUCGAACGCUGUAGCAAUACAGAGUGGCAGACGGGUGAGUAACGCGUGGGAACAUGCCCUUCGGUUCGGAAUAACUCAGGGAAACUUGAGCUAAUACCGGAUACGCCCUUAGGGGGAAAGAUUUAUUGCCGAAGGAUUGGCCCGCGUCCGAUUAGCUAGUUGGUGAGGUAAAGGCUCACCAAGGCGACGAUCGGUAGCUGGUCUGAGAGGAUGAUCA